rnacentral:rRNA from 1 species
AAAGUCUAACCUGCCCAAUGAGUAUUUAAAUGGCCGCAGUAUUUUGACUGUGCAAAGGUAGCAUAAUCAUUAGUUUCUUAAUUAGUAACUGGAAUGAAAGGUUGGACGAGAAAAUAACUGUCUCUUUAUAAAUUAUUUAGAAUUUUAUUUUUAAGUUAAAAAGCUUAAAUUUUUUUAAAAGACGAGAAGACCCUAUAGAGUUUAAUUAAUUUAUUAAUUAAAUAUUGUUUAGAAUUUAUUAAUUUUAAUUAUUAAAUUAAUUUAAUUGGGGUGAUUGAAAAAUUUAUUUAACUUUUUUUAUAUAAAAACAUUAAUUUAUGAAUAUUUGAUCCAUAUUAAUGAUUAUAAGAUUAAAUUACCUUAGGGAUAACAGCGUAAUUUCUUUUUAGAGUUCUAAUCGAUAAAGAAGUUUGCGACCUCGAUGUUGGAUUAAAAUUAAUUUUUGGUGUAGAAGCUAAAAUAUUAGGUCUGUUCGACCUUUAAAAUUUUACAUGAUCUGAGUUUAAACCGGUGUGAGCCAGGUUGGUUUCUAUCUUUAAAUAUAUUUAAUAUUUUAGUACGAAAGGACCAAAUAUUGUAAAUAAUUUUAUUUAUAUUGAAUAUUAUUAAUUA